UGCAAGUCGAGCGAACAGAUAAGGAGCUUGCUCCUUUGACGUUAGCGGCGGACGGGUGAGUAACACGUGGGUAACCUACCUAUAAGACUGGAAUAACUCCGGGAAACCGGGGCUAAUGCCGGAUAACAUUUAGAACCGCAUGGUUCUAAAGUGAAAGAUGGUUUUGCUAUCACUUAUAGAUGGACCCGCGCCGUAUUAGCUAGUUGGUAAGGUAACGGCUUACCAAGGCAACGAUACGUAGCCGACCUGAGAGGGUGAUCGGCCACACUGGAACUGAGACACGGUCCAGACUCCUACGGGAGGCAGCAGUAGGGAAUCUUCCGCAAUGGGCGAAAGCCUGACGGAGCAACGCCGCGUGAGUGAUGAAGGUCUUCGGAUCGUAAAACUCUGUUAUUAGGGAAGAACAAAUGUGUAAGUAACUAUGCACGUCUUGACGGUACCUAAUCAGAAAGCCACGGCUAACUACGUGCCAGCAGCCGCGGUAAUACGUAGGUGGCAAGCGUUAUCCGGAAUUAUUGGGCGUAAAGCGCGCGUAGGCGGUUUCUUAAGUCUGAUGUGAAAGCCCACGGCUCAACCGUGGAGGGUCAUUGGAAACUGGGAAACUUGAGUGCAGAAGAGGAAAGUGGAAUUCCAUGUGUAGCGGUGAAAUGCGCAGAGAUAUGGAGGAACACCAGUGGCGAAGGCGACUUUCUGGUCUGUAACUGACGCUGAUGUGCGAAAGCGUGGGGAUCAAACAGGAUUAGAUACCCUGGUAGUCCACGCCGUAAACGAUGAGUGCUAAGUGUUAGGGGGUUUCCGCCCCUUAGUGCUGCAGCUAACGCAUUAAGCACUCCGCCUGGGGAGUACGACCGCAAGGUUGAAACUCAAAGGAUUGACG
rnacentral:rRNA from 1 species